UGCCUAACAGCUAGCUCGAAACCCAAAACACAAUAAACCAACAUUGAUACCCCCAAAUACCCACUUACAGACCAAAUAAACCAUUUUCCCCCUUUAGUAUGGGCGACAGAAAAAGGCAUAUGAAGCAAUAAAGAAAGUACCGCAAGGGAACGCUGAAAGAGAAAUGAAAUAACCCAGUAAAGCUACAAAAAGCAGAGACUAAAACUCGUACCUUUUGCAUCAUGUUUUAGCCAGUGACCCCAAGCAAAGAGCACUUUAGUUUGACCCCCCGAAACUAGGUGAGCUACUCCAAGACAGCCUGUUUAUAGGGCCAACCCGUCUCUGUGGCAAAAGAGUGGGAAGAACUUUGAGUAGAGGUGAUAGACCUACCGAACCUAGUUAUAGCUGGUUGCCUGAGAACUGAAUAGAAGUUCAGCCUCUGGGCUUCUCACGCCACACCGCCGCAGCCAAGCCGGCUUUAAGAAACCCAGAGAGUUAGUUAAAAGAGGUACAGCUCUUUUAAAAAAGAUACAACUUUCAAAGUUGGGUGAAGAUCAUAUUAAAUUAAGGUAAAAUAUUCUAGUGGGCCUAAAAGCAGCCACCUAAAGAAAGCGUCAAAGCUCAAAUAUAUUUAAAUACCCAAAAUCCCGAUAAACCAUCUUAACCCCCUAAACCUAUCAGGCCGCCUCAUGCCCGCAUGAGGGCGACCAUGCUAAUAUGAGUAAUAAGAGAGCACGACUCCCUCCUUGCAUGCCUCUACAUCGGAACGAACACAUCACCGAAAAUUACCGACCCCAAACAAAGAGGGUACUGAACAACAAGUAAACAACCAGAAAACCACUCAACCUGCUACAUCGUCAACCCCACACUGGUAUGCCUACAAGGAAAGACUAAAAGAAAAAGAAGGAACUCGGCACGCACAAGCCUCGCCUGUUUACCAAAAACAUCGCCUCUUGCUAAAACCAAAAUAUAAGAGGUCCCGCCUGCCCUGUGACAAUAGUUUAACGGCCGCGGUAUUUUGACCGUGCAAAGGUAGCGCAAUCACUUGUCUUUUAAAUGAAGACCUGUAUGAAUGGCACAACGAGGGCUUAACUGUCUCCUUUUUCAAGUCAAUGAAAUUGAUCUCCCCGUGCAGAAGCGGGGAUAUUACCAUAAGACGAGAAGACCCUAUGGAGCUUUAGACACCAAGACAGAUCAUGUCAAACACCCCCAAACACGGAAAUAAACCAAAAGAAUCCUGUCCUAAUGUCUUCGGUUGGGGCGACCGCGGGGGAAAAAAUAGCCCCCACGAGGAAUGAGAUAACACACCUCAAAACCAAGAGCCACAGCUCUAAUUAGCAGAACAUCUGACCACCAGAUCCGGCAACGCCGAUCAGCGGACCAAGUUACCCUAGGGAUAACAGCGCAAUCCCCUUCUAGAGCCCAUAUCGACAAGGGGGUUUACGACCUCGAUGUUGGAUCAGGACAUCCUAAUGGUGCAGCCGCUAUUAAGGGUUCGUUUGUUCAACGAUUAAAGUCCUACGUGAUCUGAGUUCAGACCGGAGCAAUCCAGGUCAGUUUCUAUCUAUGCUAUGAUCUUUUCUAGUACGAAAGGACCGAAGAGAAGAGGCCCAUACUCUAAGCACGCCUCCCCCUAACCUAAUGAAAUCAACUAAAUUAGACAAAAGGGCAUAUCCCUUUAUCUAAAGAUUACAGAAU
rnacentral:rRNA from 1 species